rnacentral:rRNA from 1 species
AACGCGUGAGAAUCUAGCUUCAGGUUCGGGACAACAGAGGGAAACCGCUGCUAAUACCGGAUAGGCCGAAAGGUAAAAGAUUAAUCGCCAGAAGAUGAGCUCGCGGCCGAUUAGCUAGUUGGUGGGGUUAUAGCCUACCAAGGCGACGAUCGGUAGCUGGUCUGAGAGGACGAUCAGCCACACUGGGACUGAGACACGGCCCAGACUCCUACGGGAGGCAGCAGUGGGGAAUUUUCCGCAAUGGGCGAAAGCCUGACGGAGCAAGACCGCGUGAGGGAGGAAGGCUCUUGGGUUGUAAACCUCUUUUAUCAGGGAAUAAUCAAUGAAGGUACCUGAGGAAUCAGCAUCGGCUAACUCCGUGCCAGCAGCCGCGGUAAUACGGAGGAUGCAAGCGUUAUCCGGAAUCAUUGGGCGUAAAGCGUCCGCAGGUGGUAGUUCAAGUCGAUUGUCAAAGGCAGUAGCUUAACUACUGACAGGCAGUGGAAACUGAAAGACUAGAGUGCGGUAGGGGUAGAGGGAAUUCCCGGUGUAGCGGUGAAAUGCGUAGAGAUCGGGAAGAACACCAGUGGCGAAAGCGCUCUGCUGGACCGGCACCUGGACCUUAACUGACACUGAGGGACGAAAGCUAGGGGAGCGAAUGGGAUUAGAUACC